rnacentral:rRNA from 1 species
UACGAAGGGGGCUAGCGUUGCUCGGAAUUACUGGGCGUAAAGCGCACGUAGGCGGCUUUCUAAGUCGGGGGUGAAAUCCUGGAGCUCAACUCCAGAACUGCCUUCGAUACUGGAGAGCUCGAGUCCGGGAGAGGUGAGUGGAACUGCGAGUGUAGAGGUGAAAUUCGUAGAUAUUCGCAAGAACACCAGUGGCGAAGGCGGCUCACUGGCCCGAUACUGACGCUGAGGCACGAAAGCGUGGGGGAGCAAACAGG